rnacentral:sRNA from 1 species
CUUCCAGGUCCACCCCCGAGACCUGCCUGCCCAGCCUCCACGCCCCCCACCAAGGACAACCUUGUCCCCAGCUACCCUGCAGGCUCCCCCAGCGUGGCGGCUGCCUGUAGCCAGGCAGAGUGCAUGGGCGGGAGCCAGGCUAUCACCUCACCACUGCCUGCCAACACGCCAUCCCCGUCCUUCAGCAAGCUGCCGCCUUCCAAGGCCAGCAAGUCAUCCAAAGGCAAGGACGGGGUGGAGGUGGAGGCCCCUUCUCGAAAGCGGAAGUUGUCCCCUGGCCCCACCACUCUUAAACGGACCUGCAUCCUGGAGCCCACUGGAAAAGGGAAACCCUCUGGCUGUAGGGGCCUCUCGGCCAAAACUAAAACAGCCCUGAGCAUGGGGCUUAACGGGACAAUGGGGCCAAGAGUGAAGCGGGCAGGGCCCCUGGACUGUCGUGGCUCCCCUCAUCAGCUCCCCACACCAGUCAAGGCUUCUCAGCUAGAGAACCGGGGAGCAGCUGGACACCCAGCCAAGGCCCUGCCAACCAACUGCCUCUCUGAGGAGGAGGUGGCCAAGAAGCGGAAAAACCUGGCCACUUACUGCCGGCCAGUGAAGGCCAAGCACUGUCAGGCUGGUGCCCCUGCUGAUGUGGCCUGCUCUGUGCGCCGCAAGAAGCCAGGCCCGGCCCUGGCCUUUGAGGAGAAGUGCUCAACACUGAAGGUACUGGAGCUACCUCUGUUCCCUGAAGGAAAGGGAGUUUGAGUCCCUGGGUCACAGCCUAACAUGCCGAGCAGCAAGUCAAAAGCCCAUUAACGAGAAAGUGCCUGCCCACUGCACCGGAGCCGCCAGCACCUCCUCCCCUCCAGAUCCGGGCCCCAGGCUGCUGCCGCUUUUUAUAACUUUAUAUUAUUUUUUUUAAGAAAAAAAGCUCUUUAAAAUACCUCAA